rnacentral:rRNA from 1 species
UACGGAGGGUGCAAGCGUUAUCCGGAUUCACUGGGUUUAAAGGGUGCGUAGGCGGAUAUGUAAGUCCGUGGUGAAAUCUCUGGGCUUAACCCGGAAACUGCCAUGGAUACUAUGUGUCUUGAAUGUUGUUGAGGUGAGCGGAAUAUGUCAUGUAGCGGUGAAAUGCUUAGAUAUGACAUAGAACACCAAUUGCGAAGGCAGCUCACUAAGCAAAUAUUGACGCUGAGGCACGAAAGCGUGGGGAGCAAACAGG